CCUUGCUCCCAGGCCCGGGCUUUUCAUCAAGUCUGGCCUCUGACAGGCUAUAGAAGCCGUCCGCCAGAGGUGUCACACCAGAUGCCACCAGAAAGGUCAUUUUCUUCCGGAUUUGAAAUAAGGACCUGGAUUCGACCUCCGACCCCAACAUGAGGAGGGAUUCACGAUCCUCUAUUUGGGAAAAGUCUGAGCAAGUGAUGGAAAGUUCCCAACGAUCUGUAACAUCUGGAUCUGAGAGAAAAUGUGCUCCAGAGAGUAGAAAACAAGCAAGAUGAGACAGCAGUGGGAGAGAGGAAGAGGAGUAAAGCCUGGAUAAAGCAGAAGAGACGGCUUCCUCCCGGAGUAGCGUCAGAGCGGAGGGAACCACCUUCUUUCCAUUGACGUCCGGGGGGAUUUUCAGCUGGAGAGACCAGCCCAGAAACAGCACUCCACAUUUCUACCGGUCGACAGGUCACAGAAAGGGGAUAUCUGGCCAAUGUUCCCACUGUGUCCAAUGAGAAAUCCAUCUCCCUCCCGGUCCAUAUUCAAUUUCCCACACUGCCAUGAAAAUAAGCCUGGAUUUCAGAGCCACAUAGAACGGGAUGACAUUGCCUACAGACACUUUGAAGAACUUCCCUUUCAUUAGUCAUUCUAUAAUCACAUUAACUUAGAUGGAAAAUCUGAACUGAUUUUUCCCCCAGAGGCCCGGGGCGGAAUAAUUGUAAAAAUCUGUGAAAUCGGAUAAAUACAAUUCAAUAAUUAUAUUGAUAAAUAAAAUGAAAAUCAACUAAUUGUGUCAUUCACUCAGAAGCUCGCCUCUGCUAUUGCCAGCUUUCUGCUUCA